CAGUUUGAAUAAUCGAAGAGCUGGAGCAGUGGAGCAUCCAAUUACCGUGCCUCACAGCUGUAGCCUGGGGAGUAAGCUCCAGUGCCUGCAUGCCUACCAGCAAAAAGUCCAGCAGCUCCCUCUUGAAGCUCUCCCUUUCAGAGUCAAGAAGAAGACAGUGUUCAUUGCUUCUACACCCUCAAGUUGGCAGAGAACUCAAGUCUCAUUAACAGCAAGGAAUUCACACUGCCACAGGUGUGGCUCUCAGACUGGUCCCUCACAGGCCAACAGAUGACCCUGGUACACGACAGAGCUGUGGGAGUUACAUGAUCGAGACCCAGCAUAAGCUGCCUUUGCUCUUGGAGAGAGGAAAAUGUCAAUUCCUGGGUUCCCUGAGUUGCUGCUCCUGAUACCCAGUUUCGUCAGGUCACAGACAGAGCUGCCUCCUAUGUGUCAGCCUGCCCAGAAAGGCCAGGUAUUCACCACCAUUUCUUUUCCAUCCCCGGGACCCAUCUGGGGGUCUGGCAACUUCUCUUUUAAACCCUCAGAACUCAGUGUGUCUGCUUAUACCCUCCUUCCUGGACAGGAGCAGAGAGGCCACCUCUGGCAUCAAUGGCUCCAAAGUGAUUUAUUUUCUAAGAGAGUCUGCCAAAGAAUUAUAAUAAAAAAUACAAUAAAGUUAUAAGGUCUGUGA